UACGAAGGGGGGCUAGCGUUGUUCGGAAUUACUGGGCGUAAAGCGCACGUAGGCGGAUUUGUAAGUCAGGGGUGAAAUCCCGGGGCUCAACCUCGGAACUGCCUUUGAUACUGCAAGUCUCGAGUCCGAUAGAGGUGAGUGGAAUUCCUAGUGUAGAGGUGAAAUUCGUAGAUAUUAGGAAGAACACCAGUGGCGAAGGCGGCUCACUGGAUCGGUACUGGACGCUGAGGUGCGAAAGCGUGGGGAGCAAACAGGG
rnacentral:rRNA from 1 species